GCAAGUGGGACUCGCCUCCUUACUCCUACGUUUAUGGAAAUUAAACAGAAUACACAACCUGCGCUAACACACCAUUCACUAUCAAAAGCAUAUCAGAGGUUCUAUGAUAAAGAUGGAACGUUCAAGAAAAAAUCUCAUUGAGUCCGUCAUGCAUUUCUUCAAUGAGAGAGAUCUGCGUCUCCAUCACAAGCUCAACGCUCAAGUCACAAUGGCGGGCUCUUUGUGCCAACUGGCAAGGACACAAGCCACUGCUGUUGAUAAAGGAUGCAAUAAUUGCAGUGCCGUCCAGCCAAUGUUGUAAAAAUAUUAUAUUUUUCACAAAUGCAUAAAAUGAUAUUCACACAGGACCUGGUUGAAAAACGUUCUGAAACCUGAACUAGCACAAGGCCCACACCCUGACAGACGACUUCCCACUGCACUCUGCCAGCAAAUGUACACUUUAGCGCCACACAGUGGUGGUUUUAUGUAAGUGGGUAAAAACAGUUCUGCCCAGUAUAUCCUUAAAAGUGUCAGGUCCUCUGUAAUAAUGAAGAUAUCAUCAUGGAAUAUAUCCCAUAAAUGAUAUGCUGAUUGACCAGUUUGACACUUGUUGGCACUUGUGCUUUAAUGUAAUGUUACAGCAAGUGAUUUUGCUAUCAAGAUAAAAAAGCAACAUUAAACAGUGACUAGUUGACAAGAUUACCUCAGAACAUUCUGAGGUAGUGAUGUGCUUUUGUGAAUGAUUAGUUUGUAAGUAGUUUGAAGUUUGCGGAGAUGAAAUAGUUUGAUGCAAAAAAGUUAUCACCAUUCACACAAUAGUGUAAUAGCUAAUAGCAGACGUUAGUUACUUAUUUAAUUACUUGGUAACAUACUGUAUUUAAGCGAUUAUUAGAAAUGCAUACUGCAAUCAAGUGCUGUGCCAUAUAACAAUCCUGAGACAUUCCACAUAAGGUGCCGUUCAAUUUUUGUCAUAAUGAAUUGAAAUAUUUCCUGGAAUAUUGUACAGUAAUUCCCUGUGUUAGCCGCAGGAAAGGACAAAAUAAACAAAACCACAUUAAUACCAUA